GUACACACCGCCCGUCACACCAUGGGAGUUGGAUCUACCCGAAGGUGGUGCGCCAACCUCGCAAGAGGGGGCAACCAACCACGGUGGGUUCAGCGACUGGGGUGAAGUCGUAACAAGGUAGCCGUAGGUGAACCUGCAGAAGGAUCA
rnacentral:rRNA from 1 species